AUUGAACGCUGGCGGCAGGCCUAACACAUGCAAGUCGAGCGGAGCGGCGGACGGGCGAGUAAUGUAUUGGGAUCUGCCUGGUCGUGGGGGAUAACGUCCGGAAACGGGCGCUAAUACCGCAUACUAUCAGAUGAGCCUAGGUCGGAUUAGCUAUUUGGUGGGGUAAAGGGCUACCAAGGCGACGAUCCGUAACUGGUCUGAGAGGAUGAUCAGUAACACUGGAACGGAGACACGGUCCAGACUCCUACGGGUGGCAGCGGUGGGGAAUAUUGGACAAUGGGCAAAAGCCGGAUCCAGCCAUGCCGCGGGUGUGAAGAAGGUCUUCGGAUUGUAAAGCACUUUAAGUUGGGAGGCGUUACCAACAGAAUAAGCACCGGCUAACUUCGUGCCAGCAGCCGCGGUAAUAC
rnacentral:rRNA from 1 species